ACGGGUGAGUAAUGCCUAGGAAUCUGCCUGGUAGUGGGGGAUAACGUCCGGAAACGGACGCUAAUACCGCAUACGUCCUACGGGAGAAAGCAGGGGACCUUCGGGCCUUGCGCUAUCAGAUGAGCCUAGGUCGGAUUAGCUAGUUGGUGGGGUAAUGGCUCACCAAGGCGACGAUCCGUAACUGGUCUGAGAGGAUGAUCAGUCACACUGGAACUGAGACACGGUCCAGACUCCUACGGGAGGCAGCAGUGGGGAAUAUUGGACAAUGGGCGAAAGCCUGAUCCAGCCAUGCCGCGUGUGUGAAGAAGGUCUUCGGAUUGUAAAGCACUUUAAGUUGGGAGGAAGGGCAGUUGCCUAAUACGUAACUGUUUUGACGUUACCGACAGAAUAAGCACCGGCUAACUCUGUGCCAGCAGCCGCGGUAAUACAGAGGGUGCAAGCGUUAAUCGGAAUUACUGGGCGUAAAGCGCGCGUAGGUGGUUUGUUAAGUUGGAUGUGAAAUCCCCGGGCUCAACCUGGGAACUGCAUUCAAAACUGACUGACUAGAGUAUGGUAGAGGGUGGUGGAAUUUCCUGUGUAGCGGUG
rnacentral:rRNA from 5 species